CCUAAAUAAAAUAACACGUUUUUGGUACGACAUUUUACAGAAAAUGCAUGGACAUAUUUGUGUUUGUAGCCUAAUUUAUUAACGAAUGUUUAUUUUUUAUUGAACAAAAGUUACAGCACUUUACAAAACUCACUAUAGAAGUAGAAACCCAUUUAAUUGUAUAUCUUGUAUAACUAGAUCCAGAAUAAUAGCCUCCUUAUCCAGUCUAUAAGUUAGAUUCUAUUGACCUUGUUUUUUAAAAGUCGAAACUACUAUUGCAAUGUCACUCUGCAGACGUCGUAUCUCAUUUGCAGCAUAGGCUACGAGAUUGAGUUCAUUUCACCCAGACUUUCUAUUUAUAGUAGGCCUAUAAAUUGUGGAACCCGUUGACCAUCAUAUUUCAUUGCAUCGUUUUCAUUUUAUCUCAAUGAUAAUAGGCCAUAUCAAUACUUAUAUUAAGGUUUUAUUAUUUCCAUAAAUAAUAAUAAAAUCAUACUUUGAGAUGGGCGAGUGGAAACGUCAGGACUGAUGGAUGACACGAUGAACUCUGCCUCAAGCGGCGCUGCGGUUUUUACAGUGGCAGCAUCAGACAAUAGCACAGCGAGGCUGCAUCGGGCACCCUCGCCGACCAAAAGCCGGGAAUGCGCCCCAAAACCGGCCCAGAAAUCCUCCAGUAGAUCCAAAAGUAUAGUUUCCAAAGGAGGAUCGAGGAAUAAGGUGGGAAACGAGGUGCUUAGGACCGCUGUCGUGAGGGAGAAGGAGAUUGAGAAAUGCGACGUGGAAGCUUUUCACUCGGAUGGUGCUGAAACCGAUGCUGUCAAUUGCAAUGCAAAGAAGGCGGAUUCUAGCAGAGAGGAAGGUACGGAGGAGAUAUUUCACCAGCCGAUAGAUUCUCAAACCCGUCGUUCCUCGUUACGUUUAUCCUGCCUCAAAGGCGAGUCUUCCCAACAUAUUGGGUCAUACCGGCCAGACGGCUCCAGCACGGCGGGUUCGGUGAAAGGGAAAGCGAAGGCGCGGGGAGGGGAGGCAGUGACAGCAUCAGCAGGCUGCCGCAGGAAUAGAAGCGGGGAAUACGUGGGCUGCGUGCCGGGCCUUGGUCUGUGGAGCGGGGGUUGCUUGCAGACUGAACUCAUCCACUUCCACCUACAUAAGAAACUGAAGAAAAGCGGCAGUAAGAUGCACACCAAGGCAGAAAGGGCUCCGGGCGCGGAGGCCUCGGCCGAGACGGAACCGGCUACAGAGGCCAUAGAGGCGGAGCCGGUGACACAGCAAGACGAGGGCCCGGAGGACGAGCUGGAGAGACUGGUGGAUGAGAAUGAAGAUCUCAAGACGGAGAUCGAGGAGAUGAGGACGGAGAUGGACGAGAUGCGUGACACUUUCUACGAGGAGGACACGUGCCAGCUGCAGGAAAUGAGGCGUGAACUGGAGCGAGCCAAUAAGAACUGCCGGAUCCUCCAGUACCGGCUGAGGAAGGCUGAGAGGAAGAAGCUGCGCUAUGCCCAGACAGGAGAGAUUGACGAGGAACUACUGAGGAGCCUGGAGCAGGACCUGAAGGUAGCGAAGGAUGUGUCUGUGAGGCUCCACCAUGAGCUGGAGAAUGUGGAGGAGAAACGUACAAAGACAGAGGACGAGAAUGAGAAACUGAGGCAGAAACUCAUUGAGGUGGAGGUGACCAAACAGGCCCUUCAGAAUGAGCUAGACAAAGUCAAGGAGUCACAGAAGAGAAGAGGAAGCAAGGAGGUUCAGCGGUCUGACAAGAAGUCUGCCCAGACCCCAACAGAGGACCACAAUGAGGACCUCAAGUGCCAGCUUGCUUUCAUCAAGGAGGAGGCAGUGUUGAUGAGGAAGAAGACAGCUAAGAUCGACAAGGAAAAGGACCGUCUGGAGGCGGAGCUACAGAAGUACCGCUCCUUCUACGGGGAUCUAGACAGCCCCCACCCCAAGGGUGAGGCCGGGGGAACCCCCAGCACCCGUGAGUCCGAGCUGAAGCUGCGUCUGCGUCUGGUGGAGGAGGAGGCUAACAUCCUAGGGAGAAAGAUUGUGGAGCUGGAGGUGGAGAACCGGGGACUGAGGGCCGAGCUGGACGACCUCAGGGGAGAAGGGGAGGGAGAAGAGGGGUCCGGUGGCGGGGCUGUGGGCAGGGUAGGGGUGGGCCGGGGCCAUGGGGAGGCCAUGACAGAGCUGAGGCAGCAGCUGCAGCUGGUGGAGGACGAGGCAGAGUUACUGAGGAGGAACCUGGCAGACGCUGAGGAUCACAACAAGAGGGUGAUGGGAGAACUCAACAAGCUCAGGUUUAAGGCUGGGACCCACGAGGGAGGAGCGAGGCAUGGAGGAGGGGUGGCAGGAGGAGGUGGACUAAGCACAGAGAAGGCAGAUGCACUGCAGGAAGAACUGAAGACGGCCCGGCUACAGAUUAAUGAUCUCAGUGGGAAGGUGAUGCAGCUGCAGUAUGAGAACCGUGUUCUGCUCUCCAACAUGCAGCGCUACGACCUGGCCUCCCACCUGGCCCUGAGGGGGUGCACAAGCCCCCGGGACAGCGAUGCGGACAGUGACGCGGGUGGGACCGGUCCAACCGUGCAGCGCGAGAGUGAUGAUGACUCCUCCUCCUCCCGCAUCCUGCCCCCGCACCGCAAACGCGAGGGCCCAGUGGGCGGGGAAAGUGACUCAGAUGAGGUGCGGAACCAAACCCGCUGCCUCACACCCACCCGAGGUCUCUACACACCACCCCCAGAGGUCGCCGCCCGCUUCCUGCCCCGCAGCCCACGGGAUCGCCAGCAGAUGAUCGACAUCCGGGUGGAGGCGGAGCGUCUUGGCAGGACCAUCGACCGGUUAAUUGCCGACACAGCAACCAUCAUCGCAGAGGCGCGGGUGUACGUUUCCAAUGGUGACCUGUACGGGCGAGGCAGCGGGGGUGAGGAGGAGGAGGAGGGGGGUAGGAUCAGGGAGCAUGAGCUGCUGUACAGGAUCAAUGCCCAGAUGAAGGCCUUCAGGAAGGAGCUACAGGGCUUCAUAGACAGACUGGAGGUGCCCAAACCUGAGGACAGGGAGGAGGAACCACUUUCGCAUAGCCACAUCCUUUGUUUGUUUGUUUCUGUUGAUGUUUACAUUGGUUGUCAAGGUCAAUGCACAGGAGCCUCCCUAUUCAAGCACAGGCCACAGUCACAUAACUGGAUUUACAGUAUGCUUAUGUUCAACACUGGAGACUACAUUACCCACUACCCACCACUUCCUUCAUCACCCCCAAGUAAAGGUGAGUUAGCUAAUGACACCUGUUUUGCCCAAUUCCAAAAUCAAACCCAUUAGCCAUGAAGGUAGGCCACCACAUCAGGUAGCCUAGUAGAUACGAAUUUUAAACAAACAUAAUAGUGACAAUGCAGCUGAAUGGUGUUUGCCCCUAACAACAUCUUAUUUUGUAACAGAUUGUGACAGUGCUGUGUUGUAGUCUUUUUCAGCUUUAGCCUAUAGGUCUACAUUAAUCAACGAGUAUGCUGCUUUUACCUCAAAAAGUUUUCCUCCAACAUUUCCACACGUUGGUGACCCCAUCAAGACAGAAAGACACUAGGAAGUUGAAACAGAAAAAGAGAGGAAGUUU